AGGUGGAGGGAGCGAGAGAAAAGCGAGGCGAGGCUAGGCACCCGACUGGACGAGACGAGACGAGACGCCGGAGGGGUGCGAGUCCGCGUCCAUCCUAACGGGACCGAGCUCCAGCUUCGGGGACAUGGAAUUACAAAGUAGCUGCUAACGCUCUCCCCAGCCUGGCUCCCAAAGCGAAGCGGGCACCGCUCCUGGGGGCGACAAGGCGCUGACCCAGUGGAGCAGGAACUGUACCACCCCAAUUUGGGUGUGCUGUAGACACCGUUGGCUUAGCCUGUGACAGGAUCCUCAAGUAAAACAUGUCUGACAAGAUGUCUAGUUUCCUGCAUAUUGGAGACAUUUGUUCUCUUUACGCAGAGGGAUCGACAAACGGAUUUAUCAGCACCUUGGGUCUGGUGGAUGACCGAUGUGUUGUGCAGCCAGAAGCAGGGGAUCUGAACAAUCCGCCCAAGAAAU